CCUACGGGUGGCAGCAGUGGGGAAUAUUGGACAAUGGGGGAAACCCUGAUCAAGCGACGCCGCGAGAGUGAAGAAGUAUUUCGGUACGUAAAGCUCUAUCAGCAGGAAAGAAAAGGACGGUAACUGACGAAGAAGCCCCGGCUAACAACGUGCCAGGAGCCGGGGGAAGAGGUAGGGGGCAAGCGGUAUCCGGAUUUGAGGGGUGGAAAGGGAGCGGAGACGGCAGCGCAAGGCUGGAGUGAAAUGCCGGGGCCCAACCCCGGAACUGCUCUGGAAACUGUGAAGCUGGAGUGCAGGAGAGGUAAGCGGAAUUCCUGGUGUAGCGGUGUAAUGCGUAGAUAUCAGGAGGAACACCGGCGGCGAAGGCGGCUUACUGGACUGUAACUGACGUUGAGGCUCGAAGGCGUGGGGAGCAAACAGGAUUAGAUACCCGGGUAGUC
rnacentral:rRNA from 1 species